AACAUCCACUAGGGGUGCGAUUUCGCUGAGAGAGGAUUUAGGCCUCAACCCUUAUGAACCUGAUCUAGUUUAUGCUAGCGGAGGGAAGUGGCACGCUGUUCAU
rnacentral:ncRNA from 2 species